CGACGACGCCGCUACGUAGCUUACAAGCACUCUCUGUCGCUAUUUUUCUGCUUGCAAACCAGUCGAGAUUUUUUUCCCGCACUGAAUGACACGAUGCGCACCGGAGAGACAUCCGUUAAUGCAUCGGCAUGCGCAUUCGGUUGUUGCACUUGGCGAGCUCCGACGACGCGUUGAAAUCAGCCGAUUGUCUCUUCCCGCUAUAAUACUUUAUCUAUUGUGCGCGAUGUGUGACAUUCGAUCGGAAAAUUAUGAUUAAACCAAACGGCGAGUUAACAUACAAUUAAUGAACAAUUGUGAAGGUGUUUGUGUUAAUUAUGUUACGCGGUUGUGAAACGCUCCGAUCGAACGGAAAAGAAAAAAUUAAGACUGGGAUAAUUUUUAUUGACCGUAAUAAACAUUAGACGAAAUUUAAUCAGUUUUAUUAAAUGAAUUUACGUGUGACAACAAAUAUAAAUUUAUUAAUUUGACGCGAUUAAACAAUUUUAUAAAAAUUAAGAAGAAAAAUUUUCGCGAGAUUCCGAAUUUAAGCCGUAGAGAGAUCAGCAGAUACGUUGGAAUAUGCUAAUUAUAACAAGAAUAAUAUUUUUAAUAUCAUUGAUGUUGGUGAACUAUUUUUAAUGUUAUUGAAAUUAUUUAUAAUUUUUAUUAAGAUAACCAAUUACGGUAAUUGUUUUUAGUAUACACUUUUUUUUUUGCAUCCGUAAACACAUUCUAACAGAAGUUUCGAAGAAGAUAGUUUCCGUGUAUGAAAAGAGAACAAGCAGAAAGACCAAACACAUACCAACUAAGAAAAAAAAAAUAUAUAUAUAUAUCUACUUGCUACAAGUGUAUGCACGUUCAAAUCAAGAAGAAAGAAAAAAAACGCUAUCUGCUGCUUUCAAGAAUUUCGUGACUAAUUAAGACGUAUCAGACGUAGCGGAAAUCGACAUUAGAUUUAUGUUCGCAUGGAGAAUAAACUGGAGAGCAGCAAGAAACCGCCGCAACCGCACAGUGAAAAACAUGACAGAGACAGACAUAAUAUGGCAUCUUCAUA